UACAGAGGGGGCAAGCGUUAUUCGGAAUUAUUGGGCGUAAAGGGCGCGUAGGCGGCUUGGCAAGUGGAAGGUGAAAUCCCUCGGCUUAACCGAGGAACUGCCCUCCAAACUGCUUCGCUUGAGACCGGGAGAGGUGAGUGGAAUUCCCAGUGUAGCGGUGAAAUGCGUAGAUAUUGGGAGGAACACCAGUGGCGAAGGCGGGUCUCUGGACAGUUCCUGACACUGAGGCACGAAGGCCAGGGAGCAAACGGG
rnacentral:rRNA from 1 species